UGGCGGCGUGCUUAACACAUGCAAGUCGAACGAUGAACCUCCUUCGGGAGGGGAUUAGUGGCGAACGGGUGAGUAACACGUGGGCAAUCUGCCCUUCACUCUGGGACAAGCCCUGGAAACGGGGUCUAAUACCGGAUACGACCUCCGACCGCAUGGUCUGGUGGUGGAAAGCUCCGGCGGUGAAGGAUGAGCCCGCGGCCUAUCAGCUUGUUGGUGGGGUGAUGGCCUACCAAGGCGACGACGGGUAGCCGGCCUGAGAGGGCGACCGGCCACACUGGGACUGAGACACGGCCCAGACUCCUACGGGAGGCAGCAGUGGGGAAUAUUGCACAAUGGGCGAAAGCCUGAUGCAGCGACGCCGCGUGAGGGAUGACGGCCUUCGGGUUGUAAACCUCUUUCAGCAGGGAAGAAGCGAGAGUGACGGUACCUGCAGAAGAAGCGCCGGCUAACUACGUGCCAGCAGCCGCGGUAAUACGUAGGGCGCAAGCGUUGUCCGGAAUUAUUGGGCGUAAAGAGCUCGUAGGCGGCUUGUCACGUCGGAUGUGAAAGCCCGGGGCUUAACCCCGGGUCUGCAUUCGAUACGGGCAGGCUAGAGUUCGGUAGGGGAGAUCGGAAUUCCUGGUGUAGCGGUGAAAUGCGCAGAUAUCAGGAGGAACACCGGUGGCGAAGGCGGAUCUCUGGGCCGAUACUGACGCUGAGGAGCGAAAGCGUGGGGAGCGAACAGGAUUAGAUACCCUGGUAGUCCACGCCGUAAACGUUGGGAACUAGGUGUGGGCGACAUUCCACGUCGUCCGUGCCGCAGCUAACGCAUUAAGUUCCCCGCCUGGGGAGUACGGCCGCAAGGCUAAAACUCAAAGGAAUUGAC
rnacentral:rRNA from 1 species